GAGUGUCUAGCUUAGUGGUAGAGUGCAUGCUUAGCAUGCACGAGGUCUGGGGUUCAAUCCCCAGCACCUCC
rnacentral:tRNA from 1 species